rnacentral:rRNA from 1 species
GCCAGACUCCUACGGGAGGCAGCAGUGGGGAAUAUUGCACAAUGGGGGGAACCCUGAUGCAGCGACGCCGCGUGGGUGAAGGAGCACCUCGGUGCGUAAAGCCCUAUCGGCAGGGAAGAAAAGCGAACAGGUUCGCCUGGACGGUACCUGACUAAGAAGCCCCGGCUAACUACGUUCCAGCAGCCGCGGUAAUACGUAGGGGGCAAGCGUUAUCCGGAUUCACUGGGUGUAAAGGGAGCGUAGACGGCGACGCAAGUCUGGAGUGAAAGCCCGGGGCCCAACCCCGGGACUGCUCUUGGAACUGCGCGGCUGGAGUGCAGGAGGGGCAGGCGGAAUUCCUGGUGUAGCGGUGAAAUGCGUAGAUAUUAGGAGGAACACCAGUGGCGAAGGCGGCCUGCUGGGCUUUUACUGACGCUGAGGCUCGAAAGUGUGGGGAGCAAACAGGAUUAGAUACCCGAGUA